GAUUAGAGCAAUUUGGUAGCUUGCAAGGCUCAAAACCUUGAGGUUAUGGGUUCAAAUCCUUCUUGAAUUA
rfam:Gossypium raimondii chromosome 4, whole genome shotgun sequence.